UACGUAGGUGGCAAGCGUUGUCCGGAAUUACUGGGCGUAAAGGGCGCGCAGGCUGUUAUGCGAGUCUGCUGUGAAAUGUACCGGCUCAACCGGUGCCUUGCGGCGGAUACUGCAUAGCUGGAAUACUGGAGAGGGAAGUGGAAUUCCUAGUGUAGCGGUGAAAUGCGUAGAGAUUAGGAAGAACACCAGUGGCGAAGGCGAUUCUCUGGACUGUAACUGACGCUGAGGCACGAAAGCGUGGGGAGCAAACAGGA
rnacentral:rRNA from 1 species